GAUGAACGCUGGCGGCGUGCCUAAUACAUGCAAGUCGAGCGAAGCGGGGACGGGUGAGUAACACGUGGAUAACCUCCUAUAAGACGGGGAUAACUUCGGGAAACCGGAGCUAAACCGGAUACUUAUAAAAGGAGCCGCGCUGCAUUAGCUAGUUGGUAAGGUAACGGCUUACCAAGGCAACGAUGCAUAGCGGACCUGAGAGGGGGAUCGGCCACACUGGAACUGAGACACGGUCCAGACUCCUACGGGAGGCAGCAGUAGGGAAUCUUCCACAAUGGGCGAAAGCCUGACGGAGCAACGCCGCGUGAAUGAUGAAGGUCUUCGGAUCGUAAAGCUCUGUUAUUAGGGAAGCGUUACCUAAACAGAAAGCCACGGCUAACUCCGUGCCAGCAGCCGCGGUAAUAC
rnacentral:rRNA from 1 species